rnacentral:rRNA from 1 species
UAGGCUCGUAAACUCCUUUUAUCGGGAAAGACUUAGGACGGUACCCGAUGAAUAAGCACCGGCUAACUACGUGCCAGCAGCCGCGGUAAGACGUAGGGUGCAAGCGUUGUCCGGAUUUACUGGGCGUAAAGAGCGCGUAGGCGGUCUGUUAAGUGAGAAGUGAAAUCUCUAGGGCUCAACCCAGAAACUGCUUUUCAUACUGGCAGACUUGAGGAAUGCAGAGGUCAGUGGAAUUCCUGGUGUAGCGGUGAAAUGCGUUGAUAUCAGGAGGAACACCCAUGGCGAAGGCAGCUGACUGGGCAUUAUCUGACGCUGAGGCGCGAAAGCGUGGGUAGCAAACAGGAUUAGAUACCCUGGUAGUCCACGCCCUAAACGAUGGAUACUAGGCGUAAGAGGUAUCGACCCCUCUUGUGCCGCAGCUAACGCAUUAAGUAUCCCGCCUGGGGAGUACGGCCGCAAGGUUGAAACUCAAAUGAAUUGACGGGGACCCGCACAAGCGGUGGAGCAUGUGGAUUAAUUCGAUACUAACCGAAGAACCUUACCCAGACUUGACAUCGAUGGAAAGCUCUAGAAAUAGGGCCCUCUCUCAAAAGGAGACCUGAAGACACUUGUUGCAUGGCUGUCGUCAGCUCGUGCCGUGAGGUGUACGGUUAAGUCCGCCAACGAGCGCAACCCUCGUCCUGUGUUACCAGCAAGUAAA